rnacentral:rRNA from 1 species
AUUGAACGCUGGCGGCAGGCCUAACACAUGCAAGUCGAACGGUAACAGAGGAGAGCUUGCUCUCCUGCUGACGAGUGGCGGACGGGUGAGUAAUGUCUGGGAAACUGCCCGAUGGAGGGGGAUAACUACUGGAAACGGUAGCUAAUACCGCAUAACGUCUUCGGACCAAAGAGGGGGACCUUCGGGCCUCUUGCCAUUGGAUGUGCCCAGAUGGGAUUAGCUAGUAGGUGGGGUAACGGCUCACCUAGGCGACGAUCCCUAGCUGGUCUGAGAGGAUGACCAGCCACACUGGAACUGAGACACGGUCCAGACUCCUACGGGAGGCAGCAGUGGGGAAUAUUGCACAAUGGGCGCAAGCCUGAUGCAGCCAUGCCGCGUGUAUGAAGAAGGCCUUCGGGUUGUAAAGUACUUUCAGCGGGGAGGAAGGUGUUGAGGUUAAUAACCUCAGCAAUUGACGUUACCCGCAGAAGAAGCACCGGCUAACUCCGUGCCAGCAGCCGCCGUAAAAC